UUUCCGUAGGUGAACCUGCGGAAGGAUCAUUACAGAGUUCAUGCCCUCACGGGUAGAUCUCCCACCCUUGAAUAUUUAUACCUUAGUUGCUUUGGCAGGCCGUGGAAACACCAUGGGCUCCGGCUUAUGCGUGCCUGCCAGAGGAAGCAAACUCUGUUUUUAGUGAUGUCUGAGUACUAUAUAAUAGUUAAAACUUUCAACAACGGAUCUCUUGGUUCAG
rnacentral:misc_RNA from 1 species